rnacentral:tRNA from 1 species
UGUAGUUAAAUCAGUAAAACACCUCCCUUACACCGAGGAAAUACCCAUGCAACUCGGGUCAUUUUGAACCUCAA